GUGGCUGUAGCUCAAUGGCAGAGCGCUUGACUGUGGCUCAAGAUGUUGUGGGUUCGAGCCCCAUCAGCCACCCCU
rnacentral:tRNA from 1 species